CUGGGAUGGGCAUUGUGAGGCAUUGGGGGUGCUGUGGGGCUGGACAUGGUGAGUCACUAGCCUGACCUGGCUGUUUCCUGGUAACCAGGUGACAUAGGAAGCUUUGUGGGUUAUAGGCAUUAGCCAGGCCAGCAGCCUUCAGUCGGUAGCUGGCAGUGGAGGGAGGAGGAGGAGCUCCGACUGUGCUCUUUGACGGCAGUUUUUGUGCCUCUUGGCGCUUGUCGUGUGUUUCUCUUUGAAGUAAAACAGUAGGUCCCUGACCUCAUAGACCAUCCAGUUUGGGAGGUGGUGGCAGACUACGGGCUGAGGCCCCAGAUUUGCCUGGGGUCAGGCUGCUUCUACAAGUGCAGGGCCACCCUCAGUAGUGUGGCUGCCAGGGCAGCACAGUUACAAUUUCAUCGAAGGCUCAGGCAGGAGUGGAGAGGAGUGUAGGUGCCCCACGGGGAAUAUACUGACCUGUUGUGUGUGCCCCAAAGUCAGCUCCAACUGUGGCUGGCCCAGGGGGAAGGUGGCAUCCAGUUAUGAAUCUGAUAUUUAUGAGGCCGUGGCUGCUGCAACAUCAGAAUCCACUACUGUAGAGCCUGGCAAGCUGGAUGUGGGAGCCACGGAGGGCCAAGACCUGCAGCACAUCAGCAACCAAAAGAUGCCCACAGCUUCUGUUCUGGACCUGGAAGAUAUAGCGCUUGAUAUUGUGGAGGAGGUGUUAUCUGAAAUGGUCCCCCUGAGGACCGCCUGAGUUUAAAACUUCUACCACCAGGUGGGGAAGAC
rnacentral:lncRNA from 1 species